AACGCCAUGACGAAAACAAAAGGGGAGCUGAAGUUGCAUUCAGAAGCCCUGAUAAGAUCAAAAAACUUCACGGAUGACAGCGAUUUAAGGCUUGUCAAUCCUGAAGACAGGGUUUUCGAAGUGUGUCGACUCCAAAUGGUGUGGUACCGUCAGCUCUUCGCAAAAUAUGCCCACAUUGCAGGUCUUAGGUGUUUAAUGUUGUCCGCUCUAAAAGAAAAAACACAAAAAGUGUUUCCCGACUGGUUUGUAGGAUCUGGCGAGUGUAGAGAUCAUCGCGAGAAGCUAUUAGAUUUUCUCUUAACUGUCCUUUUAUUCAAGAAUGCAAAGUGGCUCUUGCGAAAUGAGGUUAAUAAAGUCAAAGAAAGAAAACUACAAAAUAAAUUAAAAAAGCUGUAGGUUAUAAGUAGGUUGUAAGCCAGGGCCCCACGAAAAGAGAUUCGCCGUUCACACAGGGUUUUCCACUUUUCUAUAUUUCAGGUUUUUUUUAUUUAUAUAUUUUACAGGUAUUUUCCCGUUUCAGGUUUUUUCUAUUUUUUAGUCUAUUUUACAGGUUUCUUUUUUAUUUUUUCUUCUCUUUCAGCUAGCACCCGAGCCUAGAUUUUUAAAGCACUACAAUUUUUUCUUAAUCAUGAUGGAUUGAGAGUAGUGUUUUAAAAAUCAGGUAAAUCGCAAUGACUUAAUCGAUGUCAAUAUCGAAGUCGUGUGAGAAAUUGUUAUAGUAUGAGAACAAUUUCGUAAUUCGUGCUUUCAAAA